rnacentral:rRNA from 1 species
GACGAACCGUGCGAACGUUGUUCGGAAUCAUUGGGCGUAAAGCGCGCGUAGGUGGCCUCAUAAGUCCGCUGUGAAAGUCAAAGGCUCAACCUUUGAAAGCCGGUGGAUACUGUGAGGCUAGAGUACGGAAGAGGCGAGUGGAAUUCCUGGUGUAGCGGUGGAAUGCGCAGAUAUCAGGAGGAACACCAAUAGCGAAGGCAGCUCGCUGGGACGUUACUGACACUGAGGCGCGAAAGCGUGGGGAGCGAACAGG